CGGAGGGUGCGAGCGUUGUCCGGAAUCACUGGGCGUAAAGGGCGCGUAGGUGGCUUCUCAAGCGCGCGGUGAAAGCCCGGGGCUCAACCCCGGGUCGGCCGUGCGGACUGGGAGGCUCGAGCACUGUAGGGGCGGGUGGAAUUCCGGGUGUAGCGGUGGAAUGCGUAGAGAUCCGGAAGAACACCGGUGGCGAAGGCGGCCCGCUGGGCAGGAAGGCUCGCAAGAGCCGGCUGACACUGAGGCGCGACAGCGUGGGGAGCAAACAGGAUUAGAUACCCUGGUAGUCCACGCCGUAAACGAUGGGCACUAGGUGCUUGGGGGAGCGACCCCCCGGGUGCCGGCGCUAACGCAUUAAGUGCCCCGCCUGGGGAGUACGGCCGCAAGGCUG
rnacentral:rRNA from 1 species